AACCUUACCUGGGCUUGACAUCCGGGGGACUCUCCCGCACAGGAGAGGUGCUCUUCGGAGCACCCCGAGACAGGUGCUGCAUGGCUGUCGUCAGCUCGUGUCGUGAGAUGUCGGGUUAAGUCCCGCAACGAGCGCAACCCCUAUCCACAGUUGCCAGCAGGUGCAGCUGGGCACUCUGUGGAGACUGCCCGGGUCGACCGGGAGGAAGGUGGGGACGACGUCAAGUCAUCAUGGCCCUUACGCCCAGGGCUACACACGUACUACAAUGGCGCGCACACAGGGCAGCAAGACCGUGAGGUGGAGCCAAUCCCAAGCCACGCGUCUCAGUCCGGAUUGCAGUCUGCAACUCGACUGCAUGAAGUCGGAAUCGCUAGUAAUUCUGGAUCAGCAUGCCAGGGUGAAUGCGUUCCCGGGCC
rnacentral:rRNA from 1 species